CCUAUAAGACUGGGAUAACUUCGGGAAACCGGAGCUAAUACCGGAUAACAUUUGGAACCGCAUGGUUCUAAAGUGAAAGAUGGUUUUGCUAUCACUUAUAGAUAGACCCGCGCCGUAUUAGCUAGUUGGUAAGGUAACGGCUUACCAAGGCGACGAUACGUAGCCGACCUGAGAGGGUGAUCGGCCACACUGGAACUGAGACACGGUCCAGACUCCUACGGGAGGCAGCAGUAGGGAAUCUUCCGCAAUGGGCGAAAGCCUGACGGAGCAACGCCGCGUGAGUGAUGAAGGGUUUCGGCUCGUAAAACUCUGUUAUUAGGGAAGAACAAAUGUGUAAGUAACUAUGCACAUCUUGACGGUACCUAAUCAGAAAGCCACGGCUAACUACGUGCCAGCAGCCGCGGUAAUACGUAGGUGGCAAGCGUUAUCCGGAAUUAUUGGGCGUAAAGCGCGCCUAGGCGGUUUCUUAAGUCUGAUGUGAAAGCCCACGGCUCAACCGUGGAGGGUCAUUGGAAACUGGGAAACUUGAGUGCAGAAGAGGAAAGUGGAAUUCCAUGUGUAGCGGUGAAAUGCGCAGAGAUAUGGAGGAACACCAGUGGCGAAGGCAACUUUCUGGUCUGUAACUGACGCUGAUGUGCGAAAGCGUGGGGAUCAAACAGGAUUAGAUACCCUGGUAGUCCACGCCGUAAACGAUGAGUGCUAAGUGUUAGGGGGUUUCCGCCCCUUAGUGCUGCAGCUAACGCAUUAAGCACUCCGCCUGGGGAGUACGACCGCAAGGUUGAAACUCAAA
rnacentral:rRNA from 1 species